rnacentral:ncRNA from 2 species
CAAGAUUCUCGGGGUAGGUGAAAUUCCUAACCGGCGGUAAUGUUCAGAGUGAACAGAGCCCGCGACUCGUCUCCACCUGUUAGCAGGAGAGGCGACUGAUCUGGUGCAAUUCCAGAGCCGACGGUAAAGUCCGGAUGGGAGAGGAUCAAA